rnacentral:rRNA from 1 species
CAGUCGCCGCGGUAAAACGGAGGGUGCAAGCGUUAAUCGGAAUUACUGGGCGUAAAGCGCACGCAGGCGGUCUGUCAAGUCGGAUGUGAAAUCCCCGGGCUCAACCUGGGAACUGCAUUCGAAACUGGCAGGCUAGAGUCUUGUAGAGGGGGGUAGAAUUCCAGGUGUAGCGGUGAAAUGCGUAGAGAUCUGGAGGAAUACCGGUGGCGAAGGCGGCCCCCUGGACAAAGACUGACGCUCAGGUGCGAAAGCGUGGGGAGCAAACAGGAUUAGAUACCCGCGUAGUCCCUGUCUCUUAUAU